AGACUUUGAUCCUGGCUCAGACUGAACGCUGGCGGAAUGCUUUACACAUGCAAGUCGAACGGCAGCACGGGUGCUUGCACCUGGUGGCGAGUGGCGAACGGGUGAGUAAUGCGUCGGAACGUACCGAGUAAUGGGGGAUAACGCGGCGAAAGUCGCGCUAAUACCGCAUACGCCCUGAGGGGGAAAGUGGGGGACCGCAAGGCCUCACGUUAUUCGAGCGGCCGACGUCUGAUUAGCUAGUUGGUGGGGUAAAGGCUCACCAAGGCGACGAUCAGUAGCGGGUCUGAGAGGAUGAUCCGCCACACUGGGACUGAGACACGGCCCAGACUCCUACGGGAGGCAGCAGUGGGGAAUUUUGGACAAUGGGGGCAACCCUGAUCCAGCCAUUCCGCGUGAGUGAAGAAGGCCUUCGGGUUGUAAAGCUCUUUCAGCUGGAACGAAACGGUACGCGCUAACAUCGUGUGCUAAUGACGGUACCGGCAGAAGAAGCACCGGCUAACUACGUGCCAGCAGCCGCGGUAAUACGUAGGGUGCGAGCGUUAAUCGGAAUUACUGGGCGUAAAGCGUGCGCAGGCGGAUUAUUAAGCAAGACGUGAAAGCCCCGGGCUUAACCUGGGAAUGGCGUUUUGAACUGGUAGUCUAGAGUGC
rnacentral:rRNA from 1 species